UACGUAGGUGGCUAGCGUUGUCCGGAUUUACUGGGCGUAAAGAGCGUGUAGGCGGCCAGGUAGGUCUGGUGUGAAAACUCGAGGCUUAACCUCGAGAUGUCAUCGGAAACCAUCUGGCUAGAGUCCGGAAGAGGAGAGUGGAAUUCCUGGUGUGGCGGUGAAAUGCGCAGAUAUCAGGAAGAACACCAAUGGCGAAAGCAGCUCUCUGGGACGGUACUGACGCUGAGACGCGAAAGCGUGGGGAGCGAACAGG
rnacentral:rRNA from 1 species